UCCCAGUAGGAAAUUUGCUCACCAAUGAAAAUUUUGUGUGAAAUCGCCAAGGAAAUCAGCUACUCGAAUCAUUUAGGAAUAGCAUGCAAUGAAAUCCUUACUGAAAGGCAUUGCGUUUUUCCUAUGAUUAUACAAUCCACCCUAUCUUUUUCCUUGUAAAAUAUUUCAUUCCCGAUAUGAAGCACGAGAUGGGUGUUUUGUUUUUGUUUAUAUUUGCCUUUUUCUUCUCUACCUGCCACUGAAUAAUGCGGAGAUUGGCUUCAGUUUUAGAAUUUCAAUGCUCGGGUUUUUUACAUACAAUAAAAAAUUGCCGUUCCCGUUCGUCAGCCUGGUUUGCUUCGAGAAACAAAGUUAUUUCCAACAACAACGACCGACGGUGAUGGCGACGCAUGGUUGAAGGAUUGCAAUGUUCGGGUUUUUUACAUAUCAUAAAAACUUCGAUUCGCGAUCGUCAGCCUGGUUUGCUUAGAAACAAAGUUAUUUCCAACAACAACGCACAGUGUUCGGGUGUCAACAAGUGAGUAAAGCUUAAAGUUAUUAAAAAGAGUUUAGAAAAUAAAUUAUAAUUGUAAAAAAGUGAAUAUUUUGGUAAAUUGGUAGAAUUUGUGUUCAAAUGGACAAGAAAAAUAUUCAGGCUUCCGGAUCUAAACAGUCGGCAAUGGACUCCAUUGAAUUUUCACCCACAAAGCAGCCAAGGCAGAUUUUUAAGAAAACGAAUCAACAAGAUAUGAUAGACGAAAUGAGAGCGGACAUUAAAAGUUUGUGUGUCACCACGGAGCAGCUAAAAAAUGGAAUCUGCACAUUGGCAGCAUUUUUUUCAAUAAAAUCAUAAAAAUUUA